UGGCUCAGAACGAACGCUGGCGGCAGGCCUAACACAUGCAAGUCGAGCGAACCCUUCGGGGUUAGCGGCGGACGGGUGAGUAACGCGUGGGAACGUGCCCUUUGCUACGGAAUAGCCCCGGGAAACUGGGAGUAAUACCGUAUGUGCCCUUCGGGGGAAAGAUUUAUCGGCAAAGGAUCGGCCCGCGUUGGAUUAGGUAGUUGGUGGGGUAAUGGCCUACCAAGCCGACGAUCCAUAGCUGGUUUGAGAGGAUGAUCAGCCACACUGGGACUGAGACACGGCCCAGACUCCUACGGGAGGCAGCAGUGGGGAAUCUUAGACAAUGGGCGCAAGCCUGAUCUAGCCAUGCCGCGUGAUCGAUGAAGGCCUUAGGGUUGUAAAGAUCUUUCAGUGGGGAAGAUAAUGACUGUACCCACAGAAGAAGCCCCGGCUAACUCCGUG
rnacentral:rRNA from 1 species